GGGCCGGUCGUCUAGCCCGGUCUAGGACGUCCGCCUUACACGCGGAGGGUCGUGGGUUCAAAUCCCACCCGGCCCA
rnacentral:tRNA from 1 species